rnacentral:tRNA from 1 species
GGAGAGAUGGAUGAGUGGUUUAAGUCACCACCCUGGAAAGGUGGCACAGGGUUAUCCCUGUCGCGAGUUCGAAUCUCGCUCUCUCCGCCA